GGGAGAAGGAUUGACAUGUGAAGCAGCCUUGUUUCUAAUUUGAACUAAUAAAAAAUAAUCUCUUGGGGAAAAAGAAAACAAAAAACAAAAACAAUUUGAAUGAUCCAGGCAUGGUGGCACACACCUUUAAUCUCAGCACUCGGAAGAUAGAGGUAGGCAGAACUCUGUGAGUUUGAGGCCAGUCUGGCCUAUAGAGUAAAUUCCAGGACAGCUAUGGCUGUUAUACAGAGAAACACUGUCUCAAAAACAAAACAAAUAACAAUACUUGAAUGAUAAUAUACAUUUUCUACUUUAUAUUAUCAAUAAUUUUAUGAUAAUAUAAUAAUAUUAAACGAGUUAGCACAUUUGAUGGUUUUAAAACAUUUUCUGACCCACAUUUGCUGAAUAAUUGACUCUUACUAGCUUUAUCUUAAUUCAUUCAAGAAGGCUAGCUUCCUUAGCAUUAAGUAGUUUAACUUUGUUACUAUGUUUUACCAAUGACUAAUAUGUUAUUUUAAAAUAAAUCUUAUAUAAUUAUGACAGAUAGCUUAUGUGCAUAUUAUCUUACAAUAAUUUAUAUAUUGACACAAUACCUUGCUCGUAACUGGAUGUAGUAGUCUGGAUGAGAAAGGUCCCCUAUAGGUUCAGGUAGUUGACACUUGGUCUUCAGUAGAUGGUGCUGUUUGAGUUAUGGAACCUUUAGAAGGUUCAGGCUUGGUGGAGGAAACACUUCACUGGAGAUGGGCUUUGAGGGUUUAUAACCUCAUACCACUUCCUAUUCCUCUUUUCUGCAUCCUGUGUACAGAUGAAAUGUGAACCCCCAGCUUCCUGCUCCUACUUGAAUGCCUCCCUCAUAAUUAUGGCCUCAUAGCCCCCUGGAACUAUAGCCAAAAUAAACUCUUUUUCCAUUAAAUUGAUUUUGGUCACGGUAUAUUAAGACACCAAAGAAAAGUAACUAGCACAGUGGCCUACUUAAUCUUUACUACCUUGUAGAUGUUAUCUAUCUAUAACAAAUCUCUGUAUUAUUAUAUUUCUAUUGCAACUUGACUUACAGCUUUAUCUGAGAAUUACCUCAAACACUAUUUAUCAACUACUGCUUAUCUAUUGUCCUUUGACUUGAGAGUUCUCACCUCCACCAGUGCUCAGACCAAAGGGGUGAUCUACCGAACCUCAUAUUGCAUCUCCAGACUGCACUGUUCCUCACUGAAUCUCAGACUGCUGCCUGAGACUGCACUGAGGUCCUUAUAUUCUCUCUAGAGCUGGGAUUAAAGGCAUGAGCUCUGUUUCUCUUUGAGACUAAUUCAUUCUCAUGUAGCCAGGGUGACCUUGAACUCACAGAGAUCCAUCUUCCUCUGUCUCCUGAGACCUGGGAUUAAAGGUGUGCCACCAUUUCCCAGUUUCUAUAGCUAUGGCUAGCUUUGCAUUCUGAUCUCCAGGCUAGCUUUAUUAGAUCAUAAACAAUAAGGAAGCAGGCUCAGCAAGCCAUGAGGAGCAAGCCAAUAAGCAGCAUUCCUUCAUGGCUUCACUUUAGUUCUUUCUUCCAGGUUCCUGCCUUGGCUUCCCUCAAUUGACCAUGGUUCAUGACAUGCAAACCAAAUCACCCCUGCCUCCCUGAGUUGCUUUUAGUCAUGAUAUUUCAUCACAGCAGUAGAAACCCAAGAAAGACACAAAGUGAAAAACAUAUUUCUACACUUCCAGAAAUUUUAGUUGCCAACAUAUUUUCAAUGUAAAAAUGUGAAAUCAAUGAAAAAAUAAUUUUAGUCGACAUUGUAAAGUCUUUUGGGAAAUCCACAUGCAUUUUAGAAAUAGACUUCUCUGUAGUGCUUUUCAGUUUAUUAGAAAAUUCCUUUGCAUGUAGCCAAGGUAGACUAAUUUAUUAUUUUCAUUUAUUUUUUUCAUGGCUGAAAGAAACCCAAGGAUCAGAAACUACUUUCUAGAUAUUUGGAUCACACUAUCUCCCCACUGCUGUUUUUUCCAGCUCUCAUUCUUACCCCUAUGGGUAUAUGCUCUCACCUGAAAACAAGUUCUCAGACUCACAGGGGCCCCCUUUCACAACUUAAAAGAAGUCAGCCAAAGGGGAAAAGAGGAGGCAAUCUCAGACCUUUGGUCUCUCUUUGGUUCACAAACUCUGAGUGUUGGGUCACCUCCAAACACCUGCACCCAACUUGGAGAACUAGAUUGUGUUUAUGGCUCCUUAACCAGAUGAGUUCCCAUUAAAUGAACAUUAUUUUUCCAUAAUACAUUCUUCAUUGAAAUGCCACGCUUCAUGUUUAAACAAGGGUACAUACGGAGGUAUUUAAAACUCUAAGUAUUGGUAGAUCAUGCUUCCUUGCAAUCAUGAAAGGUGUGCAUGCAUACACAUGUUCUCUAGGAUUAAAUAGUAAACACAUACAACUGUCUAAUACAGAAAUAAACAGAAAAGAAUGUUUAGAAAAACACUGAAAAGAAAUAAUAUCAAAAAUAUAGACAAGCAAGACCCAGAAAAGGUUGUUGGGUAAUUAAGAGCACUUUCUGCUCCUACAGAAGAUCCAGGUUCAAUUCCCAGCAUACACACGGUAGGUCACAACUGCCUGUAACUUUAUUUCCAGUAGAUCCAAUGUUUCCUUCUCACGUCCAAGGCAUUUGCACAUGAACAUACUCUACACACAGACACAUAAAUAUAUGCAUAACUAAAAUAAUAAAGAUUAAUCUUUAAAAAUUCUGGCAAUAUUAUCUUGGGUAGACUAGCACUCCUAUGGUGCCAGCAGCAAUCCUUCAUGGGUAGCAAUUCUGUAUACCUGAGAUCUGUAAGUGGCAGCUAGAUCUGGAGUCUGGAUGUUUAAGGCACCACCUUAGAAAUGUAUGGAACUACCUGGGGGCCACUUGUGAAUGAUACAUUAAGACAGUGCUGUUGUAGAAACAGAGGCUAACUACUCCGCAUAAAGUUGGGGUAAAUAUAUAUAUUGUGUUUUUGUAGCAAGCUUUCUUCUCAACCUAUCUUUGUAUUACCAGCCCCCAAAUAACAACAUGGAGAGUUCUUAUUAAGUAUGAAAUCCUGGCCUUUAGUUUAGGCUUGUCCCCAGCUACCUCUUAUACCUCAAAUAAACCCAUAUUUUUUAAUCUUCUGCCACGUGACUUGGUUACUUCUCCUAAGUAUGGUACUUCCUAUUUGUUCCAAGUCUAGCUGGCAUCUCCCCGCCUUUCUCUUCCCAUAUUUUAUCUUACUGGUCUUUUGCAUUUUUUAGUUUUGGCGCUCUCUCUCUCUCUCUCUCUCUCUCUCUCUGUGUGUGUGUGUGUGUGUCUGUCUGUCUGUCUCUCUCUGUGUGUGUGUGUGUGUGUGUGUGUGUGUGUGUGUGUGUGUGUGUGUGUGUGUACACAUGCAUGCACAUUUAUUUUUUGUUUUGUUUUUAUUUCUUGUUUGGUGGGAGUUGAGUUUUUCGAAGAGAAAGAGUAUAAAGUUGAGAGUAUAAAGUUGGGUGGGUAGGAGAGUGGGGAGGAUCUGAAAGAACUUGGGGGAGGAAACAGUGACUAUGAAUAAUAGUUAAGUAAGCUGGCCCUUUCCCUCUAAGUCAGCAUGUAUACAUCCUGCCUUAAGCAUAAACCUUGGAAAUUUACCAAAGUUAGAGAAAAUUUCAUUGGUAGUGCAUAGCCCUAGGGAACCAAGUGAUAAACACUGCCCUCAGGCCUUUUCCAAAUCCUCAUACAGAUAAACCAUGGAUCCAAACCACCGAAAUCUGAACUGUAGGAAACAGGCUUCUCUUGUGUGCUGUGACUGUAAUUCACUAUAAAGCAGUACAGGGUGUCUUGAAGAUGCAGGAGCCUUUAGGCUGAGCAGAUCUGAUUGUUCCCAGAAGGUACCCUGAUUCUGGCACGUGUCCCUUGAUUUCUUUCCACCACACCACUUUCCCAAGAGAUAUAAAACCAAAUCCCAAGGCCAAGCAAGAAAACCCUACACACCUCUACUGCUAUCCCUGGGCCCAGAGGUUGCCAACUCAGUUAGGCUGAAUCCAACGAACUCCAAGGAUGCACCAAAUGAGCCCCAGAAAAUGGGCUCUAGCAUUCAUUGUUCCUCCGUGAGUUUGUUCUUCCUGCUUUUUGCUCACUGAGUUCAUAUCAGUGAAAAAACCACUGGCUGCCAACAGCCACAGCAUAAACGCAUUAACUGCUCUUAACCUGACAAACCCAAAGUAGGAAUCUUACCCAUUCUCAGUCAAAGGACUUUGCCAACCACUUGAUUUCACUAGAUUUUUAACAGAGACAGUCAGGCUGCUCAUGAAUUAAACUGUAAAGAGGAGAAACUUUUAAAUUAGGACUAAACUGUAUACCAAGGCGUUCAGCAUAAACAAAAUCCCAGUUAUGAACAGGAAUCACUCUGGAAACAAUGUUGCUCCAAGCAGUAAUAACUCCCAUGUACUAGCUUCUCCCUCCAUAGAAGACAAAUGGAAAGAUCCACCACAAGUGCCAUGGUCCCAAGGACACUUCAGCUUAGAUGUCUUGUCUACAGAAAAGCUGAAUCCACACCCUUGGGGAAUCUAUUGCUCUUAGGGUCUGCCUUUCCUUUAUCAGCAUUUAUCAGUUUAUAGAUUCAUCCCCUUUGGAUUUCAAAUUUCAGUGGAAGCUUUGAGAAAGAGAUUUAGAUGUUCAACCUAAACAAUCACACCCUAAAAGGCAGCCAAGUAAAAUAAACUAGGGAAUUUUCUGAUUAAAAACAACAAAAAACUUCAAAGAAAUUGCAUCCAGAUGGUUCCCUUCAAACGUUGAUUUAUUUUUUCUGAAAUGUGAACAAGAGGAAGCAAGCUGUGGCAGAAAGAUUGGUUUAGACAUACUGAGAGCAAAGCUUGUUAAGAGGGAGGGGCAGCGGGCGUUAGUGGCUCACGCCUUUAAUCCCAGCACUAGGGAGGCAGAGACAGGCAGAUCUUUGUGAGUUUGAGGCCAGCCUGGUCUCCAGAGCGAGUGCCAGGAUAGGCUCCAAGCUACACAGAGAAACCCUGUCUUGAAAAACCAAAAAAAAAAAAAAAAAAAAAAAAAGGGAGGGGCAAGGAAGGAGGAGGGGAGAGAGGCCAGGGAGGGAGGAGCUAAAUUUUUAAAGCAUUAUAAGAGGUAGUCUCUAUAAAUGCAUUGACUUUUAGAAUUUGAGAGGGCCUCAAUAAAUCUUUACCAAAGGUCAAAAUCACAAUAGCAGUUAGGGCAGAUAUGCUGGUGUGAAAAUGCAGACAUGGAAGCAGGUAUCCAUCACUGAUGAAGGCUAUCUGAGCAAACAUGCCUGGUGUACAGCACUCUGGAGUUAGUAACAGGCCCUGCUGCAACAGUGACCAGGUAUCUUUACACUCUCAGGAUUCAAAUUUUUCUCAGUGUGUCACAACAGAGGAACUGAACUAGUCAAUUGUCCCAUUGAGAAGCAUAAUGGAUUUUAAGAUUCCUUCUAACUUUUAAUCAACUGUAACAAGACACAAAUAGCCUGUUUAAAAGAAUAUUGUUAGAAUUACUAUGGCUGCAAUAAAACACCAUGACCAAAGCAACCUGGGGAGGAAAGGUUUAUUUGGCUUACACUUCCAUUGCACUGUUCAUCAUGGAAGGGAGUCAAGCAAAAUAGGAACCUGGAGGCAGGAGUUGAUGGAGGAGUGCUGCUUACUAGCUUACUCUCCAAGAUUUGCUCAACCUGCAUCCUUAUAGAACUCAAGACCACCAGCGCAAAGAUGACACCACCCACAAUAGGCUGGGCCCUCAUAUAUCGAUUACUAAAUACCCUACAGACUUACCUGCAGCCUAAUCUUAUGGAGGUCAUUUCUUAAUUGAAGAUCCCUCCUAUUGGAUUGCUAUAACUUGUGUCAAGUUGACAUAAAACUACUUGGCCAUGAAAUGUUAGUCAUAAGUCAUAGGUUACACUGCUUUGGCCAAGAUGGAAAGCUACCUUCUCUAAAGAACUCUAGUAUUUGCCAUCAAAUCUAGAGAGAAGGAAUCAGAGAAUGUCUUUCUAGAGUGUGAUGCUUUGUACAGCUGGAACUUUGCUGUUUUGGAGUGAGGGAGAAUUUCAAAUGGGAGGGGAGCUCUCAUGGCUUUGAUAUCACUUAAUGAGAUCAACAUUAUAAGAGAAAAGAAUAGGCCGGGCGUUGGUGGUGCAUGCCUUUAAUCCCAGCACUCGGGAGGCAGAGGCAGGUGGAUCUCUGUGAGUUCGAGGCCAGCCUGGUCUCCAGAGCAAGUGCCAGGAUAGGCUCAAAAGCUACACAGAGAAACCCUGUCUCAAAAAAAUAAAAUAAAAUAAAAUAAAAUAAAAUAAGUAAAAAGAAUAGAAUACAUGUAUAGGAAAAUUUAAAAGCAGGGAAAAGUGAAAACAGGGAUACCUGGGAAAGAUUAGAAGGAAAGACAGAUGACAAAAAGAAUGUAAUUGAGGAGGGAUAAGCAUGUCCCACAAAUGGCUAUUGCUUCAGGAGGAUACUGGUAAGUGAUCAAGGUGAGAAUUAAGACCACUGUAACCACCAUUGAAAUGCAUGUAGGCUGGGGCUCCUAGUGUUGCUUUGUAGUUCAGUACUUGCCUAGCAUGCAAGAGGCCCUGGAUUUCAUUUCUUAGGCAAAACCCAAAGAUGUCUUGCUGAUUAGCAGACUCAACCAGUUAGCUAAGCUAUCGCCACUUGGGUUGAAACAAGCCCUCCUCUUACAACAUCUAUCACCCAGUCAUUGCAGAAACAAGAGUAUGCUACUAUAGCUUAGAUGAGUGUCUGCCAACAAUCCAUGUGUUUAUAGCCUGGUCCUCAAGCUGGUGUUUUAAAAGGUUGGCGCUGCAGCUGGGGAGAUGGCUCAGAUUGCUGUACAGGAAUAAGAACUGAGUUUGGAUCCUCAACACGCAAAUAAAAUUUGAGGGCAACAGUGUGCUUCUGUAACUCCAGUACAGGGAAGAGACAGAGACAGAUCCCAUGGGCUUUCUGAGCAGCCAUCACCAAUGUGAUGAGCUCCACCUUCAGUGAAGAGACCUUGUCUCAAAAAACAAGGUUGGCCUGUGUGGUGGCUUGAAGAAAAUGGCCCCUAAAGAGAGUAGCAUUAUUAUUAAGAGGUGUGGCUUUGUUAGAGUAGGUGUGACCUUGUUGGAGGAAGUAUGUCACUGUAGGGAUGGGAUUUAAUAUCUCCUUUACUCAAGCUUCACUCCCUGUGAUACUCAGACCACUUCCUUUUGCCUGUGCAAGAUGUAGAACUCUCAGCUACUUCUCUAGCACCAUGUCUGUCGAAUGCUGCCAUGUCCCACCUUGAUGAUAAUGGACUGAACCUCUGAACUGUAAGCCACCCAACUAAAUGUUUUCCUUCAUAAGAGUUGCCAUGGUUAUGGUGUCUCUUCAUAGCAAUAGAAACCCUAACUGAGACAGCCUAGAGAAAUGGCUACAUAGUUAAGAGCACAUUGUGUUCUUUCAGAAGACCCAAAUUCAAUUGCAACCAUACUUGUUGGGCUGUUCACAAGCACCUGUAACUCUAGAUCCAGACACGACACCCUCUUCCUGACUCUAUGAGCACCACAUUCAUGCACACAGUUUAAAAGAAAAUAUUUUUAAGAGGAGAACAUUAAAAUAAUUAAUAAGUUGGAUAGUGAUUGAGAAAGAUACCUAAAAUCAACCUUUGCCUCCACCUGUGCACAUGGAUGCAUGCACCUAUAUGUAUCAUGGGGAAAGAAGUCUUUGGGGGCACUGAGAGCAUUACCUUGAAGGGGAUUUUGGGAUCCCAGUCUCAGUAACAGUCUUUCUCUGCAUCCUAGCUUGUGGUAAAAAGUAGCUUUUCUCUGCCAUGCAUUCCUGCAGCCCUCACCAUAGAACCACAGCACGGAGCCAUCUGAUCUUGGGCUGUGACCUUCAGAAGAACCAGCCAAAAUAAGUCCUUUCUUCUUGCAAGUUGGUUGUCUCUGACAAUCCAUUGUAGUAAUGUUAAAUGGACUAAGAUAAUGCAGCAUGCAGGCAGAGGUUAUCCUCUAAAUAUCUCAAGUGAUAAUGUGGGCAAGCCUUUCCUGCCCAGUCACAUUCAAAGACAAAAUGAGUAUGACUAAACCCUUUGUGAGAUGGUGUAGAUGGAGGGUAGUGGGUGUGGAUCCUAUAACAUUGUGUCAAGGGUGAAGUAGAAAUGGGGUUUAGGGCCAGUCUCUAGACAUGGGCGUGGCUGGAUACUUAUUCAAGUCAGCAAGUUCCCUAAUGUCUUGAUAACUAUUUUCAAACCUGUACAAUAGACAUAAAGGCUGGCACAAACUACAGAAAGUCUUCACCAGGAACUGAGUUAAUUAAUGAGUAUAAGGAAUGUGGUAUCACAUCUGUCACAUAGAAACUACUCAUAAUGCAACCUAGUUUCUAGAUCAAAGUUGAGCAUCAUCACUGGUGUUCCAGAAUAUUUUAUGACCCCAUAUACCCAACAUUUAGAAACAAAAGUCUUAUCUUACCUGCUGAGUAAAGGACUAAUUGCCUCUAAGCUCUUGACCCUUCUCCUAUUAGAAUUAUUCUCUGAAAUGUUUCUACACAAUGUGAUUUAGAAAUAAUGUACAGGCUUUGGGUCCAGGCAACCACCCCAGUCAACCAGUGGCCUGUCUGCUGUUAAAGUCACUGUCAGGGAGAGAACACUACUUUGCCUAAGAGUCAGUAGCUACUUAUUAGGGAAGCCCAUCUUCACCUACACAUCCCUGGACUGAUGCCUACGAAGAGGGCAACAACAGAGCUUCCCAUGCUGAGCUACAAGCCUGGGAACUGGACCCUGUUGCUGCAUCUAUUUUUAGUUAUUUUUCUCUUUGUGCCAUUAACACAGCUCUUGGGAUGAUGGCCUUUAACUUCCUUUUCUAUUCUCCUGUGGGUCAAAACCUUUAGAAACUGACUCUGGAUCUCCCUAGAGUCUAACUCAUUCUCCAAACACUGCACUUUAACUUGAUAUACAAGAAAGGGUGUUCCUUCCUCUUCCUGUACGUCAGCUGACAUUCUACCUGCAAGUCAAAAUUCAAAAGCUCUCAAUAGGCAAAUGUGAUUAGUCAGCUAUUUGUUAUGGGCCAGAAGUCAUGUUUUGACCCUUGGAAGCUCUACAAAUAGAAGCCUUGCACGUUUGGCAUCCUUCUUUGUUAGAAAUCGACAGUAGGUGGUGUCAGCUAGGAGUGGAGAGUCUAGGGGAACAGAGCAGAGCCAACAUGUGUACAAAGAUUCACACAGAGAUUGUGGAUGUGGCACAUGCUGGGAUAUUUCUCAAAAGGAGGCAGUAUGACUGUAGGUUACCACUGUCACAGCAAUUUGAAGCACAUAUUGUAUUUGACACAAAUCACCAUGCAUGCAUGUGUCUGAUUUUGGUGGAAUUUAACUCUUCAAGUCUCACAUGCCUUCCUGCAUCUCCCAUGCCUCUGAGAUAGGAAUACUUCUAAAUCACUGUCCUACAUCUUUGAAAUUACCACAUGUAUCAAUCAGGGCUCUCUUGAGAAACAGACCUGAUAGAUACAUUAAGAUGAUGAGAGUAGGCUUUGUUAGGAGGACUUGGCUCACAUAACUAAGAAAGUCUGAGAGGCCCUAUGAUCUUAUACCUGCAAGCCAGAGGGUUAGCAGAGUUGGGGAGGUAAGACAAUCCAAACCCAAAGAUCUAAGAAUGCAAGGAGCCUGUGUUAUACAUAAACCCUAGUCCUAGUCUGAAGACCCAAAGAUUUGGGAGGGCAGGGAGGUAAUGGUGUAAAUUCAAGAACCUAAGAACCAUGAGUGUUGAUGUGAAACCAAGACAGAUGGAAGAAGGGGGUACCUUGACUCAAGCAGAGAUAGUAGAGAAGGGCUCAAAAGUACCUGACACUUAUGUGAGAGACUGGGGAGAAGACAAGAACACAAUGCAACUUGAAGGUUCCUCUUAAUGCUCUCCUCCUAAGGUUUUUACUUCUUCCUUCAAGAACUCAGAAGUGGUAUUUGGAGCAGCGUGUGCACAUAAAUGCAGUCAAUGUUAAUAUAAGUGAAGGAAAACAAACAUGGAAAAGGAGUUGGCUGCCACUUAGGAGACUUGAUUGCAUUUCAUUUUGAAUUCACUUAUGCUCAUAAUGCUGCUACAUUAAAGAAAUUCACAACAGCUGGGAAUGAAAGCCUUGGCAUUUUAAAGAAUGUUAGGAUGCUGUGUUCUCAUCCACCAUCUCAUUUCAUUGUGCUCCUCAUGACUUCAGAUUUUUCAUAAUUUUAUUUUUUAUUGAAAAAGUUAUUUUCAUACAAUAUAUUCUGAUCAUGGGUUUCCCUCUCUCAUCUCUUCCCAGAUCUUCUCCUCCCCGACCCUUCCAAUAUCAUGCUGUCUUUCUCCAUCUCCCUUAAGAAACCAAACAGGCAAAUGAAAAAUUAAACAAAUAAGCAUAAAACAAAACUUACAACCAAAGUAAGAAAGAAAAAAGAGCACAAAAAUGCAUACACAUGUAGAGAUACACAUAUACAUCCUAGCCAAACUCAUAAAACACAAAAUCACAAGCUAUAAUGUAUAAGCACAAGACCAUUCAAGUUAAAAAUGACCUAUCAAAAGCAAUAUGAGACAAAAUAAAUACCUUUGAGUUCACUUUGUGUUGGCCAUCUAUUGCUGGGCAUGGAUGGACCCACCCUUGCAUGUGGUUUGUAUACUUAGUGAGACUCCAUUGGUGAAAACUAAUUGUGUGUGUGUGUGUGAGUGGUUAUCAAUUGGAGAUAGCUUCUUGGUUGGGGAGACCAUGUCUACUUUCCCAUCUCAUCUUGGACCCUGUCUGGUUUGGAUUGUGGGGCCCUGUGCAUGCUAGGACAGUCUCUGUGAGUUCAUAUGUGCACCAGGUCAGUGUAUCUGGAAGGCCUUGUUUCCUUGGUGUCCUCCAUUCCCACUACCUCUCACAAUCUUUCUGCCCCAUCUUCUGCUUAGUUUCCUGAGCCCUGAAGUGAAGUAUUUGAUGAAGACAUUCCAUUUAGGACUGGGUAUUGUAAGAAAUAUUGUCUCUAUAUUUGUUUCAAUCUAUAGCAGGAGGAAAGUUCUCUGAUGGUUGCUGAGCAAGACACUGAUCUGUGAGUAUAGCAUAAUGUUGCUAGUAGUCAUUUUAUUGCUAUCUCCUAUAGUAUCUGGCUUUACCAGAGGUUCCUGUGCUAUCUAGUCUCAGGUUCUUUCCACCUGUGCAUUGUCAGUCAUGGGUUCCAUCUCAUGCUGUGGGCUUUAAAUCCAACCAGAUAGUGGCAUGUUACUCCUACAAUGUCUGUGCCCCUGCUGUGCCAGUGUCUCUCACAGGCAGGUCAUUGCAGGUUACAGAGUUUGUUGCUGGUUGGUAUUUCCCUUUCUCCUCUGGUAGUGGGCAGAGUCAGUACCCUGAACAGUAUCAUGACUUGAAAUGUAAUGUAACCCUUUAAAAGAAUCUGCUAAAUAUCACUAAAUGAUUUGGGAAAACACAAAACUAAAACUAGUGUACUGUCUGUGGGCAGUAAGGGACAGCAAAAAGCAAAGUUUCCUACAGCCCCUUUCUCUCUUCACCUCUGCAAGGACUCUUUUAAGCAUUGAGGGUUUCUAUAAAACAUAAAGACAGAUGGAAAUGUUCCCAAAUGUUCUUUCCUUUGCUCAAAAUGUUUCUUCUCAUUUCCCCCCUUUAAAUAGGAGUUUACAAACAGAAACAAAUAAAUCUAACAUAUAUCAAAAUAACAAAAAUUCAUUAUUCACUGUAAGUUGAUAAGGGAAAUCUUGAUUCCAGUGGAGCUCAUUGGUGUAACUAGAUUAGUACAUAUAAAAUAAUGUUUUUAAAGAUUCAUUUUAUUGUUAUUUAUUUGGAUGUCUAUAUAUCUUUAUGUGUGGGUAUCUGUACCAUGCAUGUGUAGUGCCUGAGGAGACCUGAAGAGGGUGUUGGACUCCCUGGAACUAGAAUUACAGGUGUUUGUGAGCCUCUGGAAGUGGGUACUGGGAACAAAACUAGGGUCCUCUAUGAGAGAAGAAAGUGCUCUUAACCUCCAAGCCAUCUCUCCAGUCCCCUAAUUGGUAUUUUUUUAGAAGUUAAGAUUCCUUUGUUCUGGCAUUUGUUCUGACAUUUGAUCCCUUAGAUCAAACUGCCACUCUGCUGGAGCAUUGCUGAGACCACAGGAUCCCACCAUCAAUCUUCCUCCCACUCCAUCCUUCUUCCUUAGCAACUUUUGUUGAUGGCCUUGGGAUCUUGUUUCCCAGGCUGCUUGACCAAGAGCAUCCUGUGCAUGAAGUCUACCCAUGGAAGGAUUUAUUCUUUUCCCUCAAUGACUGAACAUUUAGUUGUCAUUCUGAUCAGUGUUUUGAACUUGGUUUCUGAGAAUCUCCUCUAUGAGAUGAAUCUUGGGCUUUGCCUAAGUCAUAUUUCGAAGCCUGAAUGUAGUCCUAAGAUGAGAUCAAGAUAAUAUAUGCUUCUGUGUUGGGCUAACCCACUAUGAACAGCCACUGGGCAGAAAAUGCUCAACCCUCCCAGUAGCUUCCCACAUGACUGCUUUUUCCUCAGACAUUUUUGCUACUGUAGUUUUAGUUUAGUUUACAAACUAAACUGCACUUGCAAGAGAAAAUUAUGAUUACCCAGAAUGGUCUCUUCCUAGUCUUUCAUGUUAAAUUUGAAAGCAUUGUUGAGACUAGCUAGCCUCCAAACCUGAGCCUAGGGGAUGACUUUAGUCUGCCCCAUGAAAGAACAAUAGAAGACUCAUGCUAUAUUGGCCACCUGUGCAUAGCUGUGACAAAAAUACCUGACACGAACACCUUCACCUUAAGGGAGGAAGGAUUUGCUCUGAUUCAUGGUUUCAGAGAGCACAGUCAAUGGCUGCCAGGCUCCAAGAGCUUGAACAGAAGACACUGGCAGUGGGAACAUGUCAAAAAUAAGCUUUGUCACCUCAUUGCAGACAGGAAAUGGGGGCUGCAGGAAGGAGAUGUACUCCCAAGGACCUGCCUCCAGUGACCUACUUCCUGAAGGUAUGCCCUGCUUCCUGAAGCUUCCACAACUCCCAAGAAAGAACCACCAUCUGUGAACCAAGCAUAAGCCGUUAGGGACAUCCCAGUCUCAACCUUAGCACAUACUGAGGCAUGAUGGUAACAGGACUUUGGGAACUGGAUUCCCAGGACCACACUUCACCCAUGUGUCUCCACUGGAUUUCUGCUGACAGCUAAACACUAGACAGCAAUACUGUUUUCUUCUCCACCAAAUGGGAUCAGCUCCACACAUUCUCUUUCCUCAAUUUUUUCCCAAGUUAGGAAAGAGAAUAGUCACAAAUUCACUGAGAGAUAUGUGGCAAUAAUCAUAUUACAAUGAAUGAGGAAAGAAGGCAGUGUGGAAACACCGUAUUUGGGGUCUUCCAUUUCAAUGGGAAGAGAAUUUCCCCUGUCACUGUGUGAAAAAUGCACGGGAAACCAACACAACAUCCUUUUCACUUUGCAUCUGAAAUAACUUUCCAGUCACUUGACUGUACCACACAGGUGUGAGCUAUUCAAUCCAAAAUAGGAACCAAGACCGAACAGUUAAUUGGAAAGUUAGGUAAUAUCCUGAGUGUUCCAUGCUUAUGUUGACAGCUGAGCAGUGUGGGGAAGAGUCGGGGAUAUGACUGGCUUCUCACUGGCUUCCCUGCUCUCUCUCUGCUUACCCCCUCUUAUCUUUAGCCAGUGAGGGCAAGAACAGGCAAGGAGAAUGGAUGGAAUGUUAAAAUAAUGAGUGCACAGUCCUAGGGUUAGCUUCAGACUCUCUAGGCCUCUGGCCUGUCAUAAAACAAAAAAUAAAAUAAAAUAAAAAACAACAACAACAAAAACCACCUCCCCCUCCCAUGGAUGUCGGUGGCCUCCUGCGUGUCCAUCUGACCACAGUUUCCUAACAGGCUGUGCUCCUCUUUCACUAGCUGCUUUACCCUGAUUGUUCCUCAGCAUGCAGUGUGGUCUUCUGGUUGUUAGAUCUGCAUGCCCUGCUGUUGGUAGUAUUGAAGUUAAAUCCACCUCUCACUCUGUCAGCUACUAAGCAAGGCAACCUCUAGGGGCAAACUGCUAUAUUAAUAUACCUUCAAAACAUCCUCUCCCCACCCCGCAACAAAAUUUUCUGAUGAGUUGACCAUGCUCAAAAGGCCCUUAUUCUCUACAUAUUCUUGAAGGUGUAUUCUGCCAUCCUGAGCUAAGCAUGCCAAAGGAUGUGUCCUUCAUUUUUCUUUAGUUAGGAUCUUGAGCUGAGUGGGUUCAGAAUGUACUAUUCAGCUGAGCAUGCUCAAGACUGUGACUUCUUGUGUGGUUACAUGUAGAGUGCCUUCCCAAAAACCUCCAUGCUUGUUUUGUUCAAGAAGGGCAUGGCUUUGGAAACAAUUAUCCUACCAUCCUUAGCUGCCACAGGUAAGAAGUUUUCUAGCAUUCUCCAGUUCUCUGUUGUGUUUCUAAUUUUAGCUUUGUUCUCACAAGGUGUGAGCCCAUUAUGUAACACAAAUAAUAAAAACCCAGAGACAGAUAAUGGGGUUCAAGCUAAAGAUCAGAAAGGCAAAGCAGCAAAGCCAUUAGAGAGUUCUUACCUCUAGCAAGGCUAAGACCAAAGAGGGGCAAUCCUGUCCUCAGAGUGACUGCAAUGCUCUCCUCCAAACCUCAGACUGCACUGAGCUCCUGCCUUAUAUUCCUCUAGUGCAGGGAUUGUAGGCUGUCAUCCCAACUACUGGGAUCAAAGGUGUGAGCUCUGUUUCUCUUUUAGACUGAUUGAUUCAUGUAGUCCAGGGUGGCCUUGAACUCACAGAGAUCCAUCUGCCUCUGUGUCCCCAGUUCUGAGAUUAAAGGUGUGGCCACCACUGCCUGUCCUCUAUGGCUAACUAGUGGCUUGGUGUGUGUGUGACUAACUAGUGGCUUAGCUCUUAACUAGGUGUGUGGAUAACUAGUGGCUUAGCUCUGCACUCUCAUCUUUGGGCAAGCUUUAUUUGUUAGAUGACAAACAAAAUAUCACCACCCAGUUACAUUUAGUCCUGCAUUGUGGUAUGUAUUCAAAGUCAGUAAGCAGGAUUAACCACAGUCCCAGUGAUCUUGAGUCCUGUUGUUCAUAUCUCACUUUGGGGUCUAUCUCAGCUGAAGCUUGUUACACAUUCAUUCUCUUUCAGUAGUAAAUGUCACAAACAUCUAUUCAUUUUCUUUCAGUAGUAAACGUCACAAACAUCUAUCAAGAGCAGUUUGUGUGCCAGGCUGUCUGUCUGUUUCCCUCCUUCCUUUGGAAGCAGUCUUGGAGGGUGAAGGUACUGGAAGGAUGGGUCUGGGCAACACAUCCUGCAAGUGACUUGGAGAAUGAGCCUCGGGAUCACUGGGAAAGAAGCCAUUCGUCCUCCCUGCUCAAUGCUCAGCAGUCAUCUCUCAGAGAACAGACUUCUUCUGGUCUCUGUGGGCAAUGCACAGCUUGCAUCAUUCACCAAAGGCAAAGCAAACCCACUGUUUUAUUAACUUCUGAUCCUGUUGAGAAAACCAAGUGAUGCAGACCAAGCAGUUACAGAAAAAGGGAAAGACCACAUCUCUACGGGAAAAAAAAAAUGCUUCUGUCAUUCAACUGGAUAUUGAUUUAUGCAAUUAUUCACUUGUUUUUUGGGGUGUUUUUUGUUUUUUUGUUUUUGUUUUUGUUUUUUUUUUUUUUUUUUUUGGUUUUUUGAGACAGGGUUUCUCUGUGACUUUGGAGGCUGUCCUGGAACUAGCUCUUGUAGACCAGGCUGGUCUCAAACUCACAGAGAUACGCCUGUCUCUGCCUCCCAAGUGCUGGGAUUAAAGGUGUGUGUCACCACCGCCCAGCUUAUUCACAUAUUUUUAAUGAAACCAAAACAGCACUUACUAAUGGAACAACACAGUCAAAAUCAAAAUCUAAC
rnacentral:lncRNA from 1 species